GACGAACGCUGGCGGCGUGCCUAAUACAUGCAAGUAGAACGCUGAAGGAGGAGCUUGCUUCUCUGGAUGAGUUGCGAACGGGUGAGUAACGCGUAGGUAACCUGCCUGGUAGCGGGGGAUAACUAUUGGAAACGAUAGCUAAUACCGCAUAAGAGUAGAUGUUGCAUGACAUUUGCUUAAAAGGUGCAAUUGCAUCACUACCAGAUGGACCUGCGUUGUAUUAGCUAGGUGGUGGGGUAACGGCUCACCAAGGCGACGAUACAUAGCCGACCUGAGAGGGUGAUCGGCCAAACUGGGACUGAGACACGGCCCAGACUCCUACGGGAGGCAGCAGUAGGGAAUCUUCGGCAAUGGACGGAAGUCUGACCGAGCAACGCCGCGUGAGUGAAGAAGGUUUUCGGAUCGUAAAGCUCUGUUGUAAGAGAAGAACGAGUGUGAGAGUGGAAAGUUCACACUGUGACGGUAUCUUACCAGAAAGGGACGGCUAACUACGUG
rnacentral:rRNA from 1 species